rnacentral:rRNA from 1 species
UACGAAGGGGGCUAGCGUUGCUCGGAAUCACUGGGCGUAAAGGGUGCGUAGGCGGGUCUUUAAGUCAGGGGUGAAGUCCUGGAGCUCAACUCCAGAACUGCCUUUGAUACUGAGGAUCUUGAGUUCGGGAGAGGUGAGUGGAACUGCGAGUGUAGAGGUGAAAUUCGUAGAUAUUCGCAAGAACACCAGUGGCGAAGGCGGCUCACUGGCCCGAUACUGACGCUGAGGCACGAAAGCGUGGGGAGCAAACAGG